UAUCUACUGUGGAUGAUCGUCUCGACUCAGUCGGGAAGGAAAGUCCGAACUCUCUGAACUCUUCGGAGUCAAAAAUGGUAGUGGGUAACGCCCACCCUCAAGUUUGUGAGAACUUGAGAGGGAAAGUGCCGCAGAGACAAUACUAUCCCAAGUUUCUUGGGAGAAAGGUGAAAAGUGUGAGGAUGUGUUCAUACAUGUUGGAUAUCCCCUGUACGAACGCUACCUAACUCGCUAUAGGGUAACCUAUAGUUGUGGUAAACCCUACCAGAGAGAAAGAGCAGAGCAUAUUUUCUUUGAAAAUAUGUAAAAAGUUAGCUCGUUUGAGAUAUUUGGUAACAAGUAUCCUAGAGAAAUGAUCAUCGUCCCAACUUUGUUGGGAAGACAAAAUUCGGCUUACAACAGCAGAUACAAA
rnacentral:RNase_P_RNA from 1 species